rnacentral:rRNA from 1 species
GGGCCCGCACAAGCGGUGGAGCAUGUGGUUUAAUUCGAUGCAACGCGAAGAACCUUACCUGCCCUUGACAUACAGCGAACCCUUCAGAGAUGAGGGGGUGCCGAAAGGAGCGCUGAUACAGGUGCUGCAUGGCUGUCGUCAGCUCGUGUCGUGAGAUGUUGGGUUAAGUCCCGUAACGAGCGCAACCCUUAUUCUUAGUUACCAGCGGGUCAAGCCGGGGACAUUAAGAAGACUGCCGGUGACAAACCGGAGGAAGGCGGGGAUGAUGUCAAGUCAUCAUGGCCCUUAUGGGCAGGGCUACACACGUGCUACAAUGGUUGGUACAGAGGGAAGCAAAGCGGCGACGUGGAGCAAAUCUCACAAAGCCAAUCGUAGUCCGGAUUGAAGUCUGCAACUCGACUUCAUG